UAUAAAUAAAUUUUUAUAGUUUCAAUAUUUUAAUUUAAAUUUAUUUUACAUAUAAAUUAUAGUAUAAAUUUUUAAUUAUUUUAAUAAUUAUUAAAUUUAGUUAAUGAGUAGUAAUUAAUAUUAAAAAUUUAAGAAAUUAAUAUUUAGUAAUAUUUAAGAAUUAUUAACAAAUUUUGUGCCAGCAGUUGCGGUUACACAAAAAAUAAUUUAAAUUUUAUCAGUAUUAAAUAAUAAAUAUAAUUUUUUAAAAUAAAUAAUUAAUUAUUAAGUGAAAUUUUAAUUAAUUAAAAUUUUAAUUUAAAUAUAUGAUUUAGUAAAUUUUGUAAAAGACUAGGAUUAGAUACCCUAUUAUAAAAAAUUAAUAUUAAUAAUACUAAAAUAUUAUAUAAUUUUUUAUAAAAACUUAAGUAAUUUGGCGGUAUUUUAGUUCAUUUAGAGGAAUCUGUUAAGUAAUUGAUAAUCCACGAAUAAAUUUACUUAAUUUAUAAAUUUUGUAUAUCGUUGUUAAAAAAAUAUUUUUUAAUAAAAAUAAUAUUUUAAAAUUUUUAAAUAAAUUAAUUCAGAUCAAGAUGCAGAUUAUAAUUAAGAAUAUAAUGGAUUACAAUAAGAAUAAAUUAAAUGAAUUUUAUUUUGUAAAAAAUAUAUGAAGGUGGAUUUAAAUGUAAUUUUUUUCAAUUUUUAAAAAUGAUUAAUAAUUAAAAUAUGUACAUAUUGCCCGUCGCUUUCAUAGAAAAUUGAAAUAAGUCGUAACAAAGUAGGGAUACUGGAAAGUGUUCCUAGAAAG
rnacentral:ncRNA from 1 species